CGGAGGGGCCUCGCGGCGCAGAAGGUCCCGCUUAGGGGGGCUCCCUUGGGGAGGCCGGGGGAGGGGCGGAGCUGCCUGGACUCCGAAGGCCUCCGCACGAGCUUCUACUGAGGAAGCGGACCGACCUGCACCCCGGCCUCCCGUCCGAUUCACCUGGAGAGCCUCACAUGAAUUAGACUCACUCGGGAACUGUUUGCUUUACGCGGAGGACGCCAGGCCUGAGUGUUUCCCUUUAACUAAGACCGGCACUCACCCCCCAGCACCCCCAUCCCUUCCCGUCCCAACAGCCUGUCGUUUGACCUUCAAGUGCGGGCGCCCGGGGAAUCACAGACCCACCAGACAGCAGGCGGACCCCCGACAGUCAGCAAGGAGCCGAGACAGGCCCGGAAGAGGCAGCGUCUGUGGCCCGGAUGGGUCGUGCUCAGCUUCAUGGGGUCGCAAAGACUGGAACAGUGGUGUUCGGGGAGCACGGCCUCCCCUCCCAACCGCGAGCCUUCCUUUACAGACAGGUCCUUGUUAGUUUAUUUCCUUCCCUCGACUGGCCCUGGCUUCCUCCUUUUUCUUUACUGCUGGCAGUGUUUUUUAAGGUGGAUCCCUGUGUAUGCCGUUCCUGAGAUUCGUUUGGUUGCAAGUGACAGAAAGAAUGGGCAGUACUAAUGAGGGCAGCUACUGGCCCACAAGCAGGAGGUCCGGACCGUCCACCUCCCCACGUCCCUGUCCUUGAGGCUGGCUUGCUGUGGUACACACUUCCAUCCUGCCAAUUCUGGGCUGACCUGAACAGGGUCACAGGCCAAAGUGGAUCUGGGUGGGGGCUAGGGAGAGUGUGCUUGUCCAAAGGGGAGUGAGUGGCUGGAACCAGAAGCACGACGGGGAGGCCAGCAGGAAGAACAGGACUCUCAUCACUCCAGGACGGGAACCAGCCUGCAGAGAGCGCCUCUGGCUCUCUGCUCCCACAGCCACGAGACAGUAGAGGAAGGGGAGAGGCCCCGCCAGGAAAGCGUCCGUGAUCCUGAGCCUGGCUCCACACUCUAGAAGGUCCUGUUGGUGAGCACCCUCCUCCUGCCCAAAGAUCGCUCACAUUCGGUGUUGGCUGAUGUAAGGGAUCCACUCAGAGCCCACCCCGUCUUCCAAGUGCACAAAUGGCUCUGAGGUCUUAUCCCGGGCCUGCUUCCUCUGCCUGCAGCCGGGCAGGAGGUGAGCAGCUGGGGGGAAGCCCUCAGUCAGAAGAGCAUUCACAGAGCACCUUCUACCAGUGGGCAUGAGAGCUGCCCAGGAACACACACCAGCGACGGCAGGCAUGGAGCAGAGCGUGGGAACAGUGCACACAGAGAGCUGGGACGGUGGGAUCUAGUGACGGAGGUUGGAAGUCUGCACCUGAGAAAGCCCUGCCCAGACUUGGGGUCUGGCCCACCCCCUCCAGGACCAGCACGAGAACCACUGCUCAUGGAGAAGCUUUGCCCUUCCCACCUCCUGCAAGAUGUCUGGCUAGGGUGCAGCACCCCAGGCCUGACCCGGGGACCAGGCGGUGUGUCCUUCCUCGCCUGGGGCAGGAGGAGGGAGCAGCUUGAGUCUCCGAGAACUGCUGGUCUUGGUGUCACUUCUGAUUGCCAGUCGUCCCCUCUGCGGUCCCCAGGACGGGGGAGGCAUGUAGCCAUGGUGACCUUCAGCACCCCAGCUCUGAGGCAGAGAGUCCCUUGCCCUGUGCACUGGCGAUGGGCCCUCAAACAUGCAGGGUGCUGAGCUGGGGUCAGAGGCGAGGAUCUGGGGCCACACACAGCCUCCAACAUUGACCCCAGGUCAGCUGGCUGGCCUGGCAGCCCUGGGGAGAAGGGCUGGAAGCAGGGAGAAUAAAAGUGCAUCUUCUUCAGCUUA